UGUUAAUGUUGGAUUCAUGUUAUAUAACUUGCUUAUUUUCUUUUUCCAGGUUUGGGAACUGAAACUCUGUCUUGCAUUUGGGCCCUCGACACAUUUAACACCGCCAUAGUGUCUCCAAUAUACUAUGUUAUGUUCACCACAUUAACCAUCCUUGCGAGUGUCAUAAUGUUCAAGGAGGAAGAGUAAAGAGUGAAAGAAGUGGGGCAAAAACUUUCGGAGUGUUCAAAGAACAAGAUGAGAUCGAAAAUAAGCCUGAAUCUUGACAGCCACAGCCUCCUCCACCGCCCUGCUCGUUCGCCGGCCGCCAUUGCUCACAGCUGUCAGCCGAACAACCGCGGCAGCAGCCUUUGCUAAUUCACGAAAAAAAGAACAACCUUAACUAGGUUUUGAUCUCGAGAGGUUAGUGGGUGGUUGAUACAGUGCUUGGGUGCCAUUUUGCAUCCAGGAGUCUCAUAUUCAUUGUGUGUUAUACUCGCACAUGGUAAAAUGUUGUAUAACUAGUGUAGCUUACGGGCUAAUGUAGAGUAGGUUGUUCUUUUAGCUCUGUAUUCUUUUUUUCUUUCAGCUCUGUAUUCUUUUUUCUUUCAAUUUGUUGGAAAGAACAGACAUUCUCAUUUUUGUUCUCCACUUUGGGUCAUUUCUUGUCUGAUUUUUUUUAUUUUACAUGUUCUGUAUUUCAUAGACUAUGGUCUUUGUUUCGACCGUUACUUGUAAAAAUCAAGGAUCUGAAUAGUUUUGACUGUUUAAUUCAAGUAUCUGAACGUAUGUCUGAA